rnacentral:sRNA from 1 species
GCCAGGCAUGGUGGCCCAUGCCUGUAACCCCAGUGGCUCAGGAGGCUGAGGCAGGAGGAUCAUGAGUUCAAGGCUAGCUUCAACUACUUAGCAAGGUCCUAAGCAACUUAGCGAGACCCCGUCUCUA